AUACGGAGGGUGCAAGCGUUGUCCGGAUUUAUUGGGUUUAAAGGGUGCGUAGGUGGUUUUUUAAGUCAGUGGUGAAAGCCUACAGCUUAACUGUAGAGGUGCCAUUGAAACUGGGAAACUUGAGUAUGUACGAGGUAGGCGGAAUUUGUGGUGUAGCGGUGAAAUGCAUAGAUACCACAAAGAACACCGAUAGCGAAGGCAGCUUACUAGGCCAUAACUGACACUGAGGCACGAAAGUGUGGGGAGCGAACAGGAUUAGAAACCCUAGUAGUCC
rnacentral:rRNA from 1 species